AACGAACGCUGGCGGCAUGCCUAACACAUGCAAGUCGAACGAGACCUUCGGGUCUAGUGGCGCACCGGUGCGGAACGCGUGGGAACCUGCCCUUAGGUUCGGAACAACUCCCUGAAAGGGGUGCUCAUACCGGAUAAUGUCUUAGGACCUAAGAUUUACCGCCGUUGGAUGGGGCCGGGUUGGAUUCGCCAGUUGGUAGGGUAUAAGCCUGCCAAGGCGACGAUCCAGAGCUGGUCUGUGAGGAAGAUCCGCCGCACUGGGACUGCGGCCCGGCCCAGACUCCUACGCGGAGGAGCAGUAGGGUGUAUUAGACGAUGGGCGAAAGCCUAGUCCAGCUGUGCCGCGUGAGUCAUUAUGGCCUUAGGGUUGUAAAGCUCUUUUACCCGGGAUGAUAAUGACGGUACCGGGAGAAUAAGCGCCGGCUAACUCCGUG
rnacentral:rRNA from 1 species